CCUACGGGUGGCAGCAGUGGGGAAUAUUGCUCAAUGGAGGAAACUCUGAAGCAGCGACGCCGCGUGAGGGAAGACGGUCUUCGGAUUGUAAACCUCUGUCUUUGGGGAAGAAAAUGACGGUACCCAAAGAUGAAGCUCCGGCUAACUACGUGCCAGCAGCCGCGGUAAUACGUAGGGAGCGGGCGUUUUCCGGAAUUACUGGGUGUAAAGGGCGCGUAGGCGGGCGGUAAAGUUGAAGGUUAAAUCUACGGGCUUAACUGGUAGCUGCGUUCAAAACUUCUUGUCUUGAGUGAAGUAGAGGCAGGCGGAAUUCCUAGUGUAGCGGUGAAAUGCGUAGAUAUUAGGAGGAACACCAGUGGCGAAGGCGGUCUGCUGGGCCUUAACUGACGCUGAGGCUCGAAAGCGUGGGGAGCAAACAGGAUUAGAUACCCUAGUAGUC
rnacentral:rRNA from 1 species